AAGUUCUGUUGCUUUGGGGUUGUAAAGCACGUUUGGGGACCCGGGUGAAGGCGAAACAGACCUUGAAAGUGUUUAGCACAUGAGUUGGACGGGAAAAUUCUUAGGAAACGGGCUGGGAAAAAAUGCUAACAUGGAGGGGCAGGGAGAGAAAACUGAGUAAGGGGCAGUGACUGUCAGUCUAGCCAAGGUCGAGUGCGACCGGUUUUGACAGACUGUAAAUGGAAUUUUCAUGGCUCUUCUUUGCAAACAGUAAAAUAAAUAUAUCUUGAAAAUAAAUGCAGGAUUAAUUUUGCAUUGUCUUUUCCCACUUAAAACUUUCACAGUUGUUUAGUUUGCCCUGUAGGAAACUUGACAUUGGGAAAGUUUGGCACGAAUGCAUCCAAGGAAGGUACAUCGUGCGUUUCAGAUGUGAGAAAGAAGGCAUCUGCAAAAUUAAAACAAAAGGUUGUAAAAUAUGAACUGAGGAAGAGCCGUAUUCUUUGGCUCUUAAAUGAUCUGGCCACAGUUCAGUUCAGAAGGAGGGGGUGGGGCUAUGUGCAACUCGAAAAUAUCGAUUCUUUGUCUAUUGUAUCAGAGACUGACCCUCUUCUAAAGUGACAAGACGCCUCUUUGUAAUCUCUUUUCGUAAGUAAAUUUCAGUCUAAGGGGAAAUCCAUAGAAUAGGGCAGCGAGGUGGCUUUUUACGAAUGUAAGUCGUUGUACUGUCACUGGGAGAGAAGAAAGGAGUUAAGAGAAGGGUACAGAUGAAUUCGAUUCCAGCGAGCAGAGUUUGUAGAGCAAUCUGGACGGGACCUUCGCCUUUGACACCAUUGCUAUUUCGAAUGAACUUUUGUUUUUCUAAGUAGUCAACUAAGGAAAUGUUAAAUUUGGGAUGACUUUAACAUCUGAUAUCAUGGUUCACAUAUUUGUGUGGAACUUAAAUAUUUAAAUGGGAGAAGGUUGUGGGGUUUUAAAAUAUAACUGUACAUUUGCUAAAUAUCUUUUUUUUUUCUUUUUAAGGGCAACCAAGGACGUUUUUCUCCAUUAAUCCCAAAAAUCAAUGUAAAAGUUGUAAAUAACACAACCAAAACAAGAUGGAAUUUAGAGACGCUUAAUUGUAUAUCAAUUUAGGGAGUGGGUUUAUCAUUAUUAAUAACUUUGUUUACCAUGACAAAACUAGUGUAUUUGGUAACACUGGAUUGCAGUCUGGUGUGAUGAAUUUUGUGCUUAGUCACAUUAAAUACUCUGCAUAUUUCAUUAACUAAUAAAUAGGACACGGUAUCAUUGUACUGGUUUUGAAAAACACAUAAUUUUUAAAUGAACCAAAACACUAAGCAGUCUUGGAUGUGUCUAUCACUUGUAUUGCAAUGUAUUUUAACUUUCAAAACCAUUAGAGUUUUGUGCUGGAUUUGUUGUUUUAACUUUCAGGUUUGUGAUUGAGGGUGACAGAGUAGUUUCUUCUGUGCUUAAUUGACUAUUUCGUUUAAACAGUAGGGUGGGGGUGGAGGAUACAUGUAACUUAUUGCUAAUGUGUGUCCAUUUUAAAAAGGAAAAAGAGGAAUCUAAUGAGUUAACCAUUAAGGAAUAUACACAGUGCUGGCCAUUUCAAGACAUGAAAGAGUUUCUGUGGAGCUGCUUGAGACAGGAAGGAGUGAUUUGACAUGAAAUAUUUAAACAUUUGGGUUGACGUUUUGAUAGUUGACAUUGAAAAGUAUAAAUUAUAAAUAAGUUCGAGUGACCAGUUUUAUAUGGAAACAGCCAGGUAUUUCAUCUAAGCACAGUUAUCUCUUAUUCUUUGAUACCUUUAAAAAUAACUCAAAGCAGGGUGUGUGCUAUACAAAUGAAACACAAGUGGGUUAAAGAGAACAUCUGAUGUUCGGAUGGGCAGAUCUGUAUUUCCCAGCUAUGUAUAUGUUAGAAUCAGCUGAAGCUGCCAGAGACAUUUUGGUGAUCUCCUUUAAGUCAAUAAAUGAAAAGUUUUGUGUGUUUUUUUUUAAUGGAGACAUUGAAAUGAGACAGGAUUUCUAAUAUGCAGAAAGAAGUUUCAUUAAGACUUUGAAGGUGGCAAGAGUGAUCCAGAAAUGUUGCCAAACUGCCUCAAUGUAUUUGAUCUUAUUACUUUCAGAGGUAAGAUUCUUUUCCACCCUAAUUCCUACCUCCCCUCCCACCCAUCUGUUUUUCAUUUCUACACUUUUCCAAGAUUUAUCCUAUGGGAAAAGAAAUUGAGAGUCACACCCUUCGCUCCACCUGCCGACCCUGGAAACCAAACGGUGAAGUUCUAAAAAGUACGUCUAUUUGGAACGAAAUGUCUUCGUCAUAGGUUUUGCUUUAUUCUUCGCCAGUGGGCGGGGCGGAAUGGAGCUACCUUUCAGUCACCUUGUCUUCUCCACCUGCAGGCACCCCAGUGCGAUCCCCCUUCAAUCACUCCGAGGGGAUGCAGCAGCAAUUCAUGUUUUGAAGUGCUUUAAAAGGUUCAAAACGUGAGGCGCUGCUAUACCCCCUCGCGAGGAAUUUGGAAGGUGGGUUCUAAUGGACGUGUGUUUCUCUGAGGCGAUGGCUCCCAAGGCCCGCUUAGCAGCAGGUAUGUGGGCAGGGGCUUUGGUUUUGAUUCCUCUUCACUUAGCGCCUUUCCCUGCCUCACAAGGCGCCACCAAAGUCGGAGGAGAGUGACACUGCUCUGCAGGGGCUUGGGGCGUUAGGGGCACAGCGCGCGGGCAGUGCGCACCUAGGAGGGAAGUGGUGCCCGACUCAGCCGUGCCCUAGCAGCGGGAACACUACUGCAGUGGGCGAUCGGUGCUCUGGAGUAUUGUUUCUGCUGCCCGGGCAAGGCUGGGACUCCCGCACGGGCGCACCCACCAGGUAAGUCCUAGUGCAGCGCCCGCAGUGUCCGCCCUGGUCGCCGCUAGAGCCGAGUUAGCGCUUUGUUCUCCACCAAACGUUUGCCCGUCUUUGAAUAUGUAAAUAGUGUAAAUGGUAGAUGCUUCGUUUUGGCACCCCUUUCCCUGCCCUAGGAAAAUUUAAGCGAUUGAAAAAAAAAAUGCUUUCCUGAUCACUUAGAAUGCCAUCCACACGACAAAAAGGAAGAAAGACUGCCUUCAGGCCCCAACGACUAAGUGGGGGCGGAGGGGGAUUGUAAAAAGUAAGGAGGACUGGAAAGGGUGACCCACUGCAAGUAGUCCCCAGGCUGUUCUAUGGCUCCUGGUAAAUGGCCUAACGUCCUGUGCGUGGACAGGACUUUGGAGUCCAGGAAUGAUGAAAGUUUCUGGUCCCUACCCCUCCUGUCCCCCAAGUUGUGUUGGGGGAAGCUGCCAUCGAGCUCCGGCAGCAGAGGAUUCAGCGAGGUGCUGGGCCUUGCAGGCCGCUGACACCCAGGCAGCGUGGAAAGGCGCUGACCUGCAGGAUCUAAGGCCUUCAGGGAGAACGGGGACCCUGAGGGUGGCUCCAGAAUGAGGCUCUGCGUUUAUAACUGCUUCUUGCCCUCUCCCCCAAAUCCUAGUCCUGGAAUUCUACUCAGGAGGCGCUGUCCCAAGGCCCCUUGGUCGCCCCGGGGACCUCACAGAAGGAAUUGCCCUACUGACAAGGCUCUGGCUUGACAUUUCCUGCGAAAAUGGCAGCAUCUCAGCUGUCGACUCGAGUCCUUCCUGCCUCCAAAACUCUGGGCACUGUUGCUAAUCAGUGCUGCACAGCUGUCGACCUCUAAAGCCACCUCCGUCCCUCAUUGGGGGUCCCAGUCGUCUAAGAGCUUGACAGCCGGCCUAGAAAAGAGAGGGCUCAUUCCCUAGCUGAGGACUCCCUUUGCCUAGGAAAAUCACUCAGAUAUUUAUUUUUUUGACCUGGCGAAUAGAGAGGUGGAGGACUGUUGGUGAAGACAAAGGGAGGUGUGGAACAUUUCCAUGCUUUAUGUCCUCUUAAAAGAAAUAAAACACAAAACCCCCUCUAGUCUGGAUGGGCUGCCAGGACCUGAUCCUCCCGAAGGCCAGGAGCAGCCCCCCGCCCCCAAAGGCUCGAGGCUGGGGGUGCAGGGGCCCCGAGCUGGGAGUCAGGCUCCGCAGUCUGAAACACCCGCUCUCCCAGACUCCCUUGAGCCGGGGGCAGGCGCCGGGCAGUUUGGGGCCCUUCCGGCCGCCAAGGACUCUCGAGCUCCUAGGGAUGCCGCGACUCGGCGCGACCUUGACCAGGCCCAGCUCCCCGUGGCGGCCGCCUCCACCGCCACAGCCACGAUCCCCAGGCUGGGAAGCUCUGGAGUGGGCUCCCGCCCUCGCCAGCCUGCCUAGGGCCCCGCAGGACCGCAAUCCCCAGGCUUGGCAGGCAAACAGGUUCCCGCCCCCGCCUGUCUCUCUCCUUGGGGUUGGGCAGGCACCUCUAGGCUGCCCUCCUGCUUCUCACCAACUUCCCUUCUUCCUUUCUCCCAGCUCUGUACCGGUCCCCCUUGAGCCAGAAAGAGGUCAGGUGGCAUGCAGCCCUCUGGGAGGACCAAGCCCGCGCCACCCGGCUCUCUCCAGUGGGUGCCUGCAGGACUCAGAAGCGCAGCGGCCCUUUGCCCAGGGCCCCCAAGAGGCGUCGAGAUUGAGGGCGUCCACACAGCCCUCUGACUGCGUGGUGCCCUUUUCUGACUUAAAAUAGUCAUCUUGCACCAUUAUUCACGCGAUCGAAGUUGCAGUGUGCCUAGAUUUUCCUCCAAGGACAAAAAUGUGAAUAAAGCAAUAUUUCAGCCAAACAUUUCUGUGUCAAUUAAGAAGAUGGCAAUUCGUUCCAGACUAUAAAUUCUCUUUAACAACUCUCUAAGGUAUUCUUUGAAACUGUUUUUCAACAUUGCUAAAUGUGCAUCAUAAUGUGUGGGAGACUUUUGUAAAGUGAAUCAGUUUACAGUCAGCUGAUUAAUUGAUCCAAUGUUACCGCAUUCAAGGAGGCACCUUUCCAUUGUCUUCUCAUUUUUUCCCAGCACAUGUUAUUUGUUAGGGAGGAAGCUGUGUGCAUACGACAUUGUAUCAAGUUUAUUAGACAGGCGUGGACCUUAAACUAGGAAAAGCUUAGUCUAGGCCCAAAAUUUAAAACUCAACAUUUCUAUAAGUUGUGAGACAAGAGAUACAAAUUGCUUUUAUGUGCUAGAUUUGAGCAUAAUUUAAAAAAAAAUUAAUCACAAGAAUAUUUUUUAAGGCAGCCAGCAUCUCCAGUUAGCAGUACUGACUCCCCCUGCCCCCACCCCAACAAAGGAACACUAUAUCAACACCCGACCCAGGUCUGAACACAGAAGACUCCUGUUUCAAGAAAAUAUAAUCAUCUCUCAAAGUCUUUAAUUUAUAUACAUUUUUAACUCACUAGGUAUUGAAAGCCACCCAAGUGUCCCACAACAUGGGGUAAAAUAUAAUCAAUCACUCAGUGUAAUAUUAUACAUCCUUUUAAAAUGUUAUUGGAAAAUGUUUUAUGAUCUGUAAGUCGAAAUAACCUCCCAUCAUUUCUUUCUCCCUGUUGCUCCCCCAUACCCACGCUUCUUUGUUCCAAUUGGCACGUAAACUUAUUUUUCCCACCAAAUGAGUCAGUCACGAUGGGAUCAUCAAUUGAUUUGAGCAGAUGUGUGUCAAUGUUACUUGGAAAACUAGAUGCUAAUAACCAGGGAUGUACAAAAAGGCAGUGGUUGCAACUCUAAAAAUUUAUGUGUACAUACAGACAAGGACUAAAGUGGAACCCAAAACAGGAAAACAGUUGGAUAUACUCCAGUGCUGGGAGAUUGAAUGAUUGUAUGCUGCUUUUGAUUUCUGUUAAUAUGGGCAGCCACCCAAUUAAAAGGACCUAAUAAGGACUCUGCAGUGCA